GUACUCUCUUCAGCAGCACAUAUACUAAAAUGGGAUGAUACAGAGAAGGUUAGCAUGGCCCCUGCACAAGGAUGACAUCAAGUUCGUGAUGAUUUCUCAUCUGGG